rnacentral:rRNA from 1 species
AUCCCUUGACAUCCAGUGAAUUAUCUAGAGAUAGAUGAGUGCCUUCGGGAACACUGAGACAGGUGCUGCAUGGCUGUCGUCAGCUCGUGUUGUGAGAUGUUGGGUUAAGUCCCGCAACGAGCGCAACCCUUAUCCUUAGUUGCCAGCACGUAAUGGUGGGAACUCUGGGGAGACUGCCGGUGAUAAACCGGAGGAAGGUGGGGACGACGUCAAGUCAUCAUGGCCCUUACGGGAUGGGCUACACACGUGCUACAAUGGCGCGUACAAUGGGAAGCAAGCUAGCGAUAGUAAGCGGAUCUCAAAAAGCGCGUCGUAGUCCGGAUCGGAGUCUGCAACUCGACUCCGUGAAGUCGGAAUCGCUAGUAAUCGUGGAUCAGAAUGCCACGGUGAAUACGUUCCCGGGCCU